rnacentral:lncRNA from 1 species
UUCGCGAAGGGAUAGACUCGAAUCGGGGGUAGAAAAGGAAAAACGAUCGACCUUGGAGGCAUAUAUAAGGAGAGCCAAGGUGAGGGGAGCAAGGGACAAAAACUUUUAUACAUCAACCUAGACCUUAGAGAAAUUUAAGAAAUUUUUGAUUUCGUAAGCGAGCUGUGAGUCAACUAGAUUCGAAGUUUAGGUGGUUAGAACUGUAGAUCUCGCUGACAGCUCAUGAAGCCGGGGCUUUUAGGACAUAUUGUACGAUCGCUACGCUCAGACACGGACUCGAAACAAGAUCAUCCUUACUUUGCUCUCAGUUUUUCUUUUCGA